ACCCCAAGUGGCUUCAACUUUAGUCGGGGAGCCAGGCACAGAAGCACAUCGCUUCACAUAGCAGACAAUGAUUCGUAAACAAUAACAGGGAAAUCUGCAACCAAUUGGGGGUGUGGUGGAAGGCUUCCUGGUGCUUGGGUUUCCUGAAAGUCAAAGAAGAGGGGGGUAUGGUAUUCCAGAAGAGGGGAACAAAAUAGGCAAAUUUGGGAAAUAGCGAUACAAGCUGCACAGAAGAAUAAAGGAAGAUGAUGCCUUACACCAGGAUAUCAUAGAUUACAAUUCAUACCUACAACAGAAAGGUCGUCCUGGCUGCAAUUUGAAGGAUGUGCUAUUUGAAAAGGAGUGUGAGCAAUCCUGUACAGCAAGAAGUGAAACUCAUUGUAACAAGAGGACCACAGGCAG